CAGUUCGGACUGUAGUCUGCAACUCGACUACACGAAGCUGGAAUCGCUAGUAAUCGCGAAUCAGAAUGUCGCGGUGAAUACGUUCCCGGGUCUUGUACACACCGCCCGUCACACCAUGGGAGUUGGGAAUGCCCGAAGUCAGUGACCCAACCGCAAGGAGGGAGCUGCCGAAGGCAGGCUCGAUAACUGGGGUGAAGUCGUAACAAGGUACC
rnacentral:rRNA from 1 species